ACAAAUAUUGGGUCAAUUAAGCUUUUCAUUGAACCAGAAUUUCGUACAAACCUGCCAAGGAAAAAGCUAGUGAAUUCUGAGCCUCCAGAAGAACAGGUAUAUGAACCUGAGGGCAUUGGUAAAAUACUGAAGAAAGGGGAUUCUUUUAGGUGGCUGCUUUCAAUAUGGGAUCGACAGUAGUGCUUGUCUUUCAGGCUCCCACAUUAAAGCCGCUCAAAGACAGGGACGACUCUUCUUCAGAGUUCAGGUUCAAUAUUAGGCGUGGAGAUAGAGUCCGUGUAGGAGAAGCACUGGGGAGGUGGCACAAUUUGUAGAAACAAGGAUAACGUGCGCGCUAUAUGCUAAUGCUACACUGAAAGAUUUCUGCUGGUACUACCAUCAACUGAUUAGAGAUCGAUUUUUGAUUCUUGAGCACCUUUGGUUUUUUUGUAUGUUGCUGUAGAUGGUGUUUGGCGUUCAUUGGUUAAUAUGCAGCGAG
rnacentral:misc_RNA from 1 species